AAGGAAUAUUGGUCAAUGGGCGCAAGCCUGAACCAGCCAUCCAGCGUGCAGGAAGAAGGCCCUAUGGGUUGUAAACUGCUUUUGUCAGGGAAUAAACCUUGGGAUUCACUCCCGAGCUGAAGGUACCUGAAGAAUAAGCACCGGCUAACUCCGUGCCAGCAGCCGCGGUAAUACGGAGGGUGCGAGCGUUAUCCGGAAUUACUGGGUUUAAAGGGUGCGUAGGCGGCGUAGUAAGUCAGGAGUGAAAGUUUGCGGCUCAACCGUAAAAUUGCUUUUGAUACUGCUAUGCUAGAAUUAGGAUGAGGUCAGCGGAAUGUGGCAUGUAGCGGUGAAAUGCAUAGAUAUGCCAUAGAACACCAAUUGCGAAGGCAGCUGGCUAGACCUGGAUUGACGCUGAGGCACGAAAGCGUGGGGAGCGAA
rnacentral:rRNA from 1 species